rnacentral:rRNA from 1 species
GUCUGCGGCCACACCGCCCUGAACGUGCCCGAUCUCGUCUGAUCUCGGAAGCUAAGCAGGGUCGGGCCCGGUCAGUACUUGGAUGGGAGACCGCCUGGGAAUGCCGGGUGCCGUAGGCU